GUCCUUUUGCAGUUCACAGGCAUGAUGCCUGGGUUUGCACGCUCGUGUGAGACGUGCCUCCCUGAACCUUGUUAUGACAUUGGCACAGUACCAGUCUGACA